rnacentral:tRNA from 1 species
GGGGCUGUAGCUUAGUUGGGAGAGCGCUGCAUUCGCAUUGCAGAGAUCAGGGGUUCGAAUCCCCUCAGCUCCACCA